CCUUAGUAAGCUCUCAAGUGAAUGAAGGUGAGGCGACCAUAAUUUGAUUUUUAAUUUUACGGAUCCGCCGACUCUAAAAAUUUGCAUUUCAAAAAAAAAAUAAAAUCGGAAAUUUUCAAUCCGCUUUUGUCAAACCUGUGUUUAUAAAAGCAAAUCACAGAAACUUAGAAAAAAACACAUGUGCCGAAUGGUAGAAGAAGGUGAGCUGUCAACUAUGAUUUUAUCGAGAGUCUACAAAUUCUGAACCCUCCCCAUUGCAUGUCUCUCUCUAUUUUUUUAAUUGCUGUUUCUACCAAUUUCGAAAAAAUCCGGAUUUUUUACCUUCUUCGAUUUGUAAAAUACUGACAAGUCAAAACAAAAAUGGCUGUCAUGCAGUGUUUACUGGUAGCUAAUCUGCUUAUUGCCACUGAUAACAGAGGAAAUGAAAGCAAGUACAUGGUAACUAAUAAAGAGUGACAGUCUGCAGAGGGAACACCGCGGAUUACGAGAUUCAGUGACUUAGCAAAUCCUACAUCAAGACCAGUAUAUAAAAACCCUUGAAACUGCAGAGCAACUUGACAGUACCUCUAGAAGACUUCUUUGAAUUUAUGUAGCUAAACAGGAUCUUUAUUAAAUCCAGGAAACAGAUCUCUUGUUUCUUAUAAUGAGAAAAAUCCAUUCAUCCAUCAGUUGAAAGCUGGAAACUCAGAGCAUCUGCAGAAUUUUAUUAAUUCGUUUAAUUGCCAAGUUAAACUUCGAUAUUUACCCUGAAUAUUAUUCAAAUGACGCUCAAAUGAAAGUGCAAACUAUACAGUGAAGAACAUAAUUAAAUUUUUAUAAUUUCAAAUAUUACAUGGUACUCAUAUUAAACAAUGUUUGAAUUAAAAGUUGUAGUUUUUAUAAAUAACAACAUUUAUACAUGCAAUGUAUAUUAAUAUUUAAAAAAAAAAAUAUCUUGUAAGUUGUUUUUUGUUUUGUUUUAUAUUACAGUGAAAUGGGA